UGACUAGCGGAGGCUAUAAAGAG
rfam:HIV-1 MS2004-37_131 from Australia, genomic sequence.